UGACACAUAAUCCGCCAAAGUCCAUAGUUUUAUUGGGGUUCACUCUUGGUAUUGUAUAUUCUAUGCAACUAAACAAAU